CCAGCUGAAUUUAAGCAUACGUAUUACUAGGCGGAGGAAAAGAAUCUAAGAAGGAUUCCCUCAAUAGCGAGCUCAGGUAGAUGUCGUUUACGGGAGGUCCCAUUCUCCCAAGGCGUGGUCCCGCGAGUCCAAAUCUCCCUUGAACGGGGCCACUUCCCACAGAGGGUGCCAGGCCCGUAGGACCGCGGCCGCUCCCGGUUAGGGACUCUCCUCAGAGUCGUGUCCCAUGGCAGUGGAGCACCAAGAGGGUGGUAAACUCCAUCUAAGGAUAAAUAUGACCACGAGACCGAUAGCGAACAAAUACCGUGAGAGAAAGUUGAGAAGCCGCUGCUUAUAGGUGGAUAUUUGUCUAUGUGUGUGAUAUACACUCCCCUGCUCUUGACGCCUGUAUUUUUAAGUGUUGUCACUAAGAUGAAGAUGCUGUAUUGGGUCUGACUUCUUGAAAGCAAACCAUUUACCAUCCAGACACUCUAAAUAUAUGGAUUUAAUACUUACCAAUAAAAACAUACCUCUCACCAAUUCUUUCUUCUUUUGAAGAUAUUUACACUUUCCAUGGGCUGUCUGAUUAUUCUUUGAAAGUGUUUGUACCUUUCUCAAAU
rnacentral:ncRNA from 1 species